rnacentral:rRNA from 1 species
UACGAAGGGGGCUAGCGUUGCUCGGAAUCACUGGGCGUAAAGCGCACGUAGGCGGCUUUUUAAGUCAGGGGUGAAAUCCUGGAGCUCAACUCCAGAACUGCCUUUGAUACUGAAGAUCUUGAGUUCGGGAGAGGUGAGUGGAACUGCGAGUGUAGAGGUGAAAUUCGUAGAUAUUCGCAAGAACACCAGUGGCGAAGGCGGCUCACUGGCCCGAUACUGACGCUGAGGCACGAAAGCGUGGGGAGCAGACGAGG